rnacentral:rRNA from 1 species
AGUGAACGCUGGCGAUAGGCCUAACACAUGCAAGUCGAACGGCCGCACAGUAAGCGUUUUCCUUUACGGGUGGCGGGUGGCGGACGGGUGAGGAAUACAUCGGAAUCUACUUUUUCGUGGGGGAUAUCGUGGGGAAACUUACGCUACUACAGAAUAUAUUGUACGGGUGAAUUCAGGGGAUAUUGGCACCUUGCGUGUUUGAAUUAGACGAUGUCGGAUUUGCUUGUUGGGGGGGUAAAGGCCCACCAAGGCAACGAUCCGUAGCUGGUCUGAGAGGGUGAUCAGCCACACUGGAACUGAGACACGGUCCAGACUCCUACGGGAGGCAGCAGUGGGGAAUAUCGGACAAUGGGCGCAAGCCUGAUCCAGCCAUACCGCGUGAGUGAUGAAGGCCUUCGGGUUGUAAAGCCCUUUUGUUGGGAAAGAAAAGCAGCAGAUUAAUACCCCGCUGUUCUGACGGUACCCAAAGAAUAAGCACCGGCUAACUUCGUG